rnacentral:rRNA from 1 species
GACGAACGCUGGCGGCGUGCUUAACACAUGCAAGUCGAACGGAAAGGCCCUGCUUUUGUGGGGUGCUCGAGUGGCGAACGGGUGAGUAACACGUGAGUAACCUGCCCUUGACUUUGGGAUAACUUCAGGAAACUGGGGCUAAUACCGGAUAGGAGCUCCUGCUGCAUGGUGGGGGUUGGAAAGUUUCGGCGGGUGGGGAUGGACUCGCGGCUUAUCAGCUUGUUGGUGGGGUAGUGGCUUACCAAGGCUUUGACGGGUAGCCGGCCUGAGAGGGUGACCGGCCACAUUGGGACUGAGAUACGGCCCAGACUCCUACGGGAGGCAGCAGUAGGGAAUAUUGCACAAUGGGCGGAAGCCUGAUGCAGCAACGCCGCGUGCGGGAUGACGGCCUUCGGGUUGUAAACCGCUUUCGCCUGUGACGAAGCGUGAGUGACGGUAAUGGGUAAAGAAGCACCGGCUAACUACGUG